CAAUGUAUAGCUCAGUGGAAGAGCACAUGCUUAGCAUGCACGAGGUCCUGGGUUCAAUCCUCAGUACCUCCA
rnacentral:tRNA from 1 species